rnacentral:rRNA from 1 species
GACGAACGCUGGCGGCGUGCUUAACACAUGCAAGUCGAGCGGAAAGGCCACUUCGGUGGUACUCGAGCGGCGAACGGGUGAGUAACACGUGAGUAAUCUGCCCCUGGCUUUGGGAUAGCCACCGGAAACGGUGAUUAAUACCGGAUACGACCACUUCUCGCAUGGGAUGGUGGUGGAAAGUUUUUUCGGCCAGGGAUGUGCCCGCGGCCUAUCAGCUUGUUGGUGGGGUGAUGGCCUACCAAGGCGACGACGGGUAGCCGGCCUGAGAGGGUGACCAGCCACACUGGGACUGAGAUACGGCCCAGACUCCUACGGGAGGCAGCAGUGGGGAAUAUUGCACAAUGGGCGCAAGCCUGAUGCAGCGACGCCGCGUGAGGGAUGACGGCCUUCGGGUUGUAAACCUCUUUCAGCAUCGACGAAGCGAAAGUGACGGUAGGUGCAGAAGAAGGACCGGCCAACUACGUGCCAGCCGCCGCCGUAA